AUUGAUAAAAAAAAGCUUUUUAAUUGAAUUGUCAGGAUUUGUGAAUUGUUAGGAUUUAAAUUGCUUUGAAAAAAAAAAACUUCAUUGCGUCUUUCGAUCAGCGGAAUAAACGUGUAUCUCACAUCUGAUAACAAAUCUUCAGAAAUUCUGAUUGUAGAGAAGAACGUUUUUCUGUAACAUACAAAACCGAACAAAAAUUUUAUAUUAUAGCAAUUAUAUUUUGGAGCAGGUAGCUUUAUGAAAUUCGAUGACUGUGUCGACGGUCGCAAUAGCAGUUCCUGGUGCCAUACAAACUCCGUAACCACCAUGUCCAUAGUUAUGUACGAUCUGCAAAAAAAAAAAUAUGAUGCAGUCAAUUUGUGAAUUAAUACGUAACUCUUUUUACUGUCCAAGUA